rnacentral:rRNA from 1 species
CCAACCCUUGACAUCCUGAUCGCGGUUACCAGAGAUGGUUUCCUUCAGUUCGGCUGGAUCAGUGACAGGUGCUGCAUGGCUGUCGUCAGCUCGUGUCGUGAGAUGUUCGGUUAAGUCCGGCAACGAGCGCAACCCACACCCUUAGUUACCAGCGGUUCGGCCGGGGACUCUAAGGGAACUGCCCGUGAUAAGCGGGAGGAAGGUGUGGAUGACGUCAAGUCCUCAUGGCCCUUACGGGUUGGGCUACACACGUGCUACAAUGGUAGUGACAAUGGGUUAAUCCCAAAAAGCUAUCUCAGUUCGGAUUGGGGUCUGCAACUCGACCCCAUGAAGUCGGAAUCGCUAGUAAUCGCGUAACAGCAUGACGCGGUGAAUACGUUCCCGGGUCUUGUACACACGCAAUCACU